CGUGAGCGACCUGCCGUACCUGUGGGGGAUAGCCGGCCCAACGGCCGGGUAAUACCGCAUACGAUUGCUUUGGGGCAUCCUGGGGCAAGGAAAGCUGGGGGCAACCCUGGCGCAGGACGAGGGGCUCGCGGCCUAUCAGCUAGUUGGCGAGGUAACGGCUCACCAAGGCAGUGACGGGUAGCUGGUCUGAGAGGGCACACGGCCACACUGGCACUGAAACACGGGCCAG
rnacentral:rRNA from 1 species